CUUGGCUCUUAUUAUUGGGAAACCUACCCAAGUACCCAGUACCCAUACCCAUUCAGCAGAUAUUCACCUUCACCGAAGACCGAAGGGAACAAAAGGGACCUCCCACCGUCGAGUCCGUCGGCUAUUAUACAAAGUCCAAAUCUAGGGCUUCUUGUUUUCUUUGUCAGGGGAGAAGAGAGAUUGAGAAUCAAAAAAUCUCCGCCAGUACCCAAACGAAUACACAGGGGGAGAGUACAGGGCUUCGUUUAGAGUUUCAAUGAUGCAUUCGAUAGACCUCAGAUACUCUGAUCCAAACUCCUAUCGUGAAAGGAGAAGUGAUUUUAUGGCGCCACAGCAACCGGCAGCACCGUCUUUGAUGAGUGGAGCAGGUGGCGCCGCCCCGCACUUUGGCCGAGGUGGACCCGUUGCUUUCGGAGGACCUCCUGGAGCGUUCGCUGGAGGAAGGGGAGCCGGAGGCUUCGGUGCUCCAGCCCCAACUGGAGCAGGUAAUUUUAAUGGGAUUGCUCCCUUUCAACCAGCCGGUGGGAGAGGGUUUGACAUUGGUCGAGGUGGUGGUGGAGGAAGGGGCUUUAGUGCAGGACGAGGAAGUAGUUUUGGCGUUGGCACUGGCGGUAGAGGCGCUACUGCUGGUGGUGGUAGAGGUGGAGGUGGUCGGGGGUUCGGAGGAGAUCGUGGUGAUAGGACAUCCAAUGGAGACCGUGGCGGUAGGAUGCCCAAUGGUGACCGUGGCGGUAGGAUGCCCAAUGGUGACCGUGGCGGUAGGAUGCCCAAUGGUGACCGUGGCGGUAGGAUAGGAGGGGGACGUGGUGGUGGAAGGGGUCGUGAAGUUGGUCGUGGUGAUGCUAGAGGGUUUGACGCGGGUCGCAGGGGAGGUAGAGCCGGUGGAGGCCGUGGUGGUGGUCCAAGAAGUUAUGAUGGAGGCCGUGGUGGAGGUGGUAGGGGAGGUAAAGACAUUGGAAGGUCUAGAGGGGAGUUGGACAGCAUCGCUCUUCCUAAGCAGGACUUUGGAAACUUGGUCCCUUUUGAGAAGAACUUUUACAUAGAGAGCUCUUCUGUGGAGGCAAUGACGGAACAGGAAACUGCUAUUUACCGCAAGAGGCGCGAGAUUACAGUUGAGGGAUACGAUAUACCGAAGCCCAUCAGAUUAUUUCAGGAGGCCAACUUUCCAGAUUACUGUAUGGAUGCGAUAGCUAAAUUGGGUUUUGUGGAACCAACACCAAUUCAAUCUCAAGGGUGGCCAAUGGCUUUAAAAGGCAGAGAUUUGAUUGGUAUUGCCGAGACUGGUUCUGGGAAAACGUUGGCGUAUCUGCUGCCCGCUUUGGUACAUGUUAGUGCACAACCUCGAUUGGUUCAAGGUGAGGGCCCAAUUGUACUGGUUCUAGCACCUACUAGGGAAUUGGCUGUUCAAAUUCAGGAAGAAGCUGGGAAAUUUGGAUCACGUUCCAAUAUCAGAAGCACUUGCAUCUACGGUGGUGCCCCCAAGGGACCACAGAUUCGUGAUCUUAAAAGAGGGGUUGAGAUAGUCAUUGCUACACCUGGUAGAUUGAUUGACAUGUUGGAAGCUUGCCAUACAAACUUGCGGAGAGUGACAUAUCUUGUGUUGGAUGAGGCUGAUCGUAUGUUAGACAUGGGAUUUGAACCACAGAUCAGGAAAAUUGUUUCCCAAAUUCGACCCGAUAGACAGACAUUGUACUGGAGUGCCACAUGGCCAAGAGAAGUUGAGACUUUGGCAAGACAGUUCUUACAUAAUCCCUACAAGGUGAUCAUUGGAUCGUCAGAUUUGAAAGCCAACCAAUCUAUAAACCAGGUUGUUGAAGUUAUGACAGAUUUGGAAAAGUAUAAAAGGCUGACCAAGCUGCUGACAGAAAUGAUGGAUGGAAGUCGGGUUCUAAUAUUCCUGGAGACCAAAAAAGGAUGUGACCAGGUCACAAGGCAGCUGAGGAUGGAUGGAUGGCCGGCUCUAUCCAUCCAUGGUGAUAAAAACCAGGCUGAAAGGGACUGGGUUCUAGCUGAGUUCAAAAGUGGCAGAAGUCCUAUAAUGACUGCCACUGAUGUUGCGGCACGUGGUCUUGGUAGGAUCACUGUGUGUUAGGAGUCUUAUAUCUAUUUAUUUCUUCUAUGCUGAAUAUUGGCGGGUCGGCAUUUAUCAAAAAAAAAAUAUUGGCGGGUCGGCGGGCUGCUGUCCAGCUUCCCAAGAAUAAUUCGUGGUUUGGCGGGGUUGAGGAGGUGCAGCCAUUCUAUAAGAUUGUAAAGAUGUUCUUACAAUUUCCAUCUGGGAGCAUCAUAGUUGGCUUCACCAAGGGAUUUUUUACCUAUUGGAUUCAGAGAGAUUAAUGUCCCAUAAAAAUGCCUCUGCUUGGGUACCUCAUAGUUGCAGCUCAUGUUACAUGGACACAGAGCUAAGGCUCACUGAUAUGACUAUUAUGGUUUAUAGAUUUUUGGGAAGUACAGGUUUCACAUGUAUGUAUCUCAUUCAUGGGGAUGUCAGCAUACAUUUCUACUUAUGCAUGCCCAGGGAAAACAUUGAAAAUCUUUCAUCCAUAUCCAUAUUUACUGGACGUGUCCAAUAAAGGCAUUGCACUUACAAUUAAAGUGUCUAAGUAACAUGGUUGGAAGUUAUCACCGCCUAUCCACGGUUAUGGAGUUGGUUGUUGUGGCAGCCCAGUCGACUCAGACAAGCUUAUUCUUUCAAUGGAACUGGAUGGUGGUUCUGGUCCUUAUCCCUGCAGGUCAAAGAUGUAAAAGAUAUAAAAUGUGUGAUCAAUUAUGAUUUCCCAUCAAGCCUUGAAGAUUAUGUUCACAGGAUCGGACGAACAGGUCGUGCAGGUG